CCUACGGGCGGCAGCAGUCGAGAAUCAUUCACAAUGGGGGAAACCCUGAUGGUGCGACGCCGCGUGGGGGAAUGAAGGUCUUCGGAUUGUAAACCGCUGUCAUGUGGGAGCAAAUUAAAAAGAUAGUACCACAAGAGGAAGAGACGGCUAACUCUGUGCCAGCAGUCGCGGUAAUACAGCGGUCUCAAGCGUUGUUCGGAAGCACUGGGCGUAAAGCGUGGGUAGGCGGUUUCGUAAGUGGUGUGUGAAAGGCGCGGGCUCAACCCGCGGACGGCACAUGGUACUGGGGGACUAGAGUAAGGGGUGAGGAACCGGAAUUCGCGGUGUAGCAGUGAAAUGCGUAGAUA
rnacentral:rRNA from 1 species